UCGGGAAAAUUUUGCAAUACACGCAAGUGUGACAGAGCAAGCCAAAGUGUUAAUCAUUUAUGAUUAUCUUUUGUGGAAUGUAGAAAGUUCCACGAAUAAGGACCGGGCAAGACUGGUGCCAGCCGCCGCGGUAAUCCCAGCGGUCCAAGUCGCAGCCACAUUUGUUGGGUCUAAAAUAUCCGUAGCUUGCCUUGUAAGUCCUUUGUGAAAUCGGGCCUCUUAAGGGUCCGGCGUGCAAAGGAUACUGCUUGGCUAGAGACCGGGAGGCGUAAGAAGUACAGAUAGAGUAACGGUAAAAUGUGUUGAUCCUUUCUGGACUAACAAUCGCGAAGGCAUCUUACGAGAACGGUUCUGACAGUGAGGGAUGAAGGCUAGGGGCGCAAAGUGG
rnacentral:rRNA from 1 species